ensembl:lncRNA
GUGUGGUGAUGGUAUGGCGUGUAGUUGUAGUGAUGGUGUGUGGUGAUGGUGUGUAGUGCUAGUGUGUCUGUGUGUGUGGUGAUGGUGUGUAGUGGUAGUGUGUCUGUGUGUGUGGUGAUGGUGUGUAGUGGUAGUGUGUGUGGUGAUAUUGUGUAGUAGUAGUGUGUGUGUGUGUGGCGAUGGUGUGUAGUGUGUGUGGUGAUGGUGUGUAGUGGUAGUGUGUGUGUGUGUGUGUGUGUGGUGAUGUUGUGUGUGUGUGUGUGUGUGUGGUGAUGGUGUGUAGUGAUGGUGUGUGGUGAUGGUGUGUAGUGGUAGUUUGUGGUGAUGUUGUGUAGUGGUAGUGUGUGUGUGUGUGUGGUGAUGGUGUGUAG